AGCCAUAAGAAGGUUUACUAUUAGAUUAAAAAAACAGAUACAAAUACACCUAAUGGAACAGUGGGGUCUGUGAAGCAACACAAACAUAGGCACAGACACAUGCAUAAACACACACACACAAGAUAACAUACGCACUAUACACACGCGUACACAUGUACUUUGUACUGUAGAUAUGUGGUAGAGGUGGAGUAGGGGCUUGAGGGCACACAGUGUGUUGUAGAUAUGUGGUAGUGGUGGAGAAGGGGCCUGAGGGCACACAGUGUGUUGUAGAUAUGUGGUAGUGGUGGAGUAGGGGCCUGAGGGCACACAGUGUGUUGUAGAUAUGUGGUAGAGGUGGAGCAGGGGCCUGAGGGCACACAGUGUGUUGUAGAUAUGUGGUAGUGGUGGAGUAGGGGCCUGAGGGCACACAGUGUGUUGUAGAUAUGUGGUAGAGGUGGAGAAGGGGCCUGAGGGCACACAGUGUGUUGUAGAUAUGUGGUAGAGGUGGAGUAGGGGCCUGAGGGCACACAGUGUGUUGUAGAUAUGUGGUAGUGGUGGAGAAGGGGCCUGAGGGCACACAGUGUGUUGUAGAUAUGUGGUAGUGGUGGAGAAGGGGCCUGAGGGCACACAGUGUGUUGUAGAUAUGUGGUAGAGGUGGAGUAGGGGCCUGAGGGCACACAGUGUGUUGUAGAUAUGUGGUAGUGGUGGAGUAGGGGCCUGAGGGCACACAGUGUGUUGUAGAUAUGUGGUAGUGGUGGAGUAGGGGCCUGAGGGCACACAGUGUGUUGUAGAUAUGUGGUAGUGGUGGAGUAGGGGCCUGAGGGCACACAGUGUGUUGUAGAUAUGUGGUAGAGGUGGA
ensembl:lncRNA